CCUACGUGAGGCAGCAGUGAGGAAUAUUGGUCAUUGGGCGGGAGCCUGAACCAGCCAAGUCGCGUGAGGGACGACGGUCCUAUGGAUUGUAAACCUCUUUUGUCGGGGAACAAAGGCGUCCACGGGUGGGCGGAUGAGUGUACCCGAAGAAAAAGCAUCGUCAAACUCCGUGCCAGCAGCCGCGGUAAUACGGAGGAUGCGAUCGUUCUCCGGAUUUAUUGGGUUUAACGGGUGCGUCGGCGGACAGGCAAGGCAGCGGUAAAAAUGCGGUGCUCAACGCCGUACAGCCGUUGAAACUGGCCGUCUUGAGUGGGCGAGAAGUAUGCGGAAUGCGUGGUGUAGCGGUGAAAUGCAUAGAUAGCACGCAGAACUCCGAUUGCGAAGGCAGCAUACCGGCGCCCUACUGACGCUGAGGCACGAAAGCGUGGGUAUCGAACAGGAUUAGAUACCCUUGUAGUC
rnacentral:rRNA from 1 species